rnacentral:lncRNA from 1 species
GUGCUGGGUGACCCAUGACUUGAAAGACUUGCAAUUGACCUCCAGUCAGAACGGAUGACCCAUGACUUUAACUAAGUCGGUCUGCAAGCCAAAUUUCAUAUCACACCCUAUGUGACUGAUUGGACGGAACUUGGUGUCUCCCAGCUCCCCUCUCACGAGGACAAAAAAAAAUCCUAGACCUUCUUCCAAAAUCCAAUUCCAUUGCAGAAAACUGGCACAUGGCCCAUAUUCAGUUCAGUGUUCCCUCACUUCCUCCCUGCAAAAGUUAAAAAAACAGAAACCAAAAAACAAGAAGGAAAUAAUAAAAAAAAAAGACCAGCUACCGAGUCACCAGAGGUAUCAACAGUGUAAUAGAUGGAGAGAGAAUCCUGACGGACUAUACGACCCCCCUC